rnacentral:rRNA from 1 species
AGAGUUUGAUCAUGGCUCAGAAUGAACGUUGGCGGCGUGGAUUAGGCAUGCAAGUCGAGCGAGUCUACUUUGUAGCAAUAUGAAGUAAGUCGAGCGGCGUAAGGGGCAGUAAUACCUGGGAACGUACCCUGAGGUCGGGGAUAGCUGCUGGAAACGGCGAGUAAUACCCGAUGAUCUUGGAAAAGAAGGCUUGCCGCCUUGGGAGCGGCCCAGGCGAUAUUAGCUAGUUGGUGGGGUAAUGGCCUACCAAGGCAUAGAUGUCUAGCGGGUGUGAGAGCACGACCCGCGCCACUGGCACUGAGACACUGGCCAGACACCUACGGGUGGCUGCAGUCGAGAAUCUUCGGCAAUGAGCGCAAGCUUGACCGAGCGACGCCGCGUGCGGGAUGAAGGCCUUCGGGUUGUAAACCGCUUUGGUCCGAAAGAAAGGGUAAAACUUGAUCGAUCGGAGAAACAAGGACGGGCAGUCGAAUGCCAGCAGCCGCGGUAGACG